rnacentral:rRNA from 1 species
AUUGAACGCUGGCGGCAUGCUUUACACAUGCAAGUCGAACGGUAACAGGCCUUCGGGUGCUGACGAGUGGCGAACGGGUGAGUAAUGCAUCGGAACGUACCCAGAGAUGGGGGAUAACGCAGCGAAAGCUGUGCUAAUACCGCAUGUGAUCUGAGGAUGAUAGCGGGGGACCGAGCAGCAAUGUUUGGCCUCGCGCCUUUGGAGCGGCCGAUGUCGGAUUAGCUAGUUGGUGGGGUAAAGGCCUACCAAGGCGACGAUCCGUAGCUGGUCUGAGAGGACGGCCAGCCACACUGGAACUGAGACACGGCCCAGACUCCUACGGGAGGCAGAAGUGGGGAAUUUUGGACAAUGGGCGAAAGCCUGAUCCAGCAAUGCCGCGUGCGGGAAGAAGGCCUUCGGGUUGUAAACCGCUUUUGGCAGGAACGAAACGGUGUCCGCUAAUACCGGGCGCUAAUGACGGUACCUGCAGAAUAAGCACCGGCUAACUACGUG